rnacentral:rRNA from 1 species
ACGAACGCUGGCGGCGUGCUUCACACAUGCAAGUCGCACGGAAAGGCCCUGCUUUUGUGGGGUGCUCGAGUGGCGAACGGGUGAGUAACACGUGAGUAACCUGCCCUUGACUUUGGGAUAACUUCAGGAAACUGGGGCUAAUACCGGAUAGGAGCUCCUGCUGCAUGGUGGGGGUUGGAAAGUUUCGGCGGUUGGGGAUGGACUCGCGGCUUAUCAGCUUGUUGGUGGGGUAGUGGCUUACCAAGGCUUUGACGGGUAGCCGGCCUGAGAGGGUGACCGGCCACAUUGGGACUGAGAUACGGCCCAGACUCCUACGGGAGGCAGCAGUGGGGAAUAUUGCACAAUGGGCGGAAGCCUGAUGCAGCAACGCCGCGUGCGGGAUGACGGCCUUCGGGUUGUAAACCGCUUUCGCCUGUGACGAAGCGUGAGUGACGGUAAUGGGUAAAGAAGCACCGGCUAACUACGUGC